rnacentral:rRNA from 1 species
AUUGAACGCUGGCGGCAUGCCUUACACAUGCAAGUCGAACGGCAGCGCGGGAGCAAUCCUGGCGGCGAGUGGCGAACGGGUGAGUAAUAUAUCGGAACGUGCCCAGUAGUGGGGGAUAGCCCGGCGAAAGCCGGAUUAAUACCGCAUACGACCUGAGGGUGAAAGGGGGGGAUCGCAAGACCUCUCGCUAUUGGAGCGGCCGAUAUCAGAUUAGGUAGUUGGUGGGGUAAAGGCCUACCAAGCCUGCGAUCUGUAGUUGGUCUGAGAGGACGACCAGCCACACUGGGACUGAGACACGGCCCAGACUCCUACGGGAGGCAGCAGUGGGGAAUUUUGGACAAUGGGCGCAAGCCUGAUCCAGCAAUGCCGCGUGCAGGAAGAAGGCCUUCGGGUUGUAAACUGCUUUUGUCAGGGAAGAAAUCCUCUAGGCUAAUGCCUUGGGGGGAUGACGGUACCUGAAGAAUAAGCACCGGCUAACUACGUGCCAGCAGCCGCGGUAAGAC